AACGUAGGAGACGAGCGUUAUCCGGAUUUACUGGGCGUAAAGCGUGCGCAGGCGGUUAUGCAAGACAGAUGUGAAAUCCCCGGGCUCAACCUGGGAACUGCAUUUGUGACUGCAUGGCUAGAGUACGGUAGAGGGGGAUGGAAUUCCGCGUGUAGCAGUGAAAUGCGUAGAUAUCAGGAGGAAUACCGAUGGCGAAGGCAGGUCUCUGGGCUGACACUGACGCUCAUGCACGAAAGCGUGGGGAGCAAACAGG
rnacentral:rRNA from 1 species